rnacentral:lncRNA from 1 species
GUUAAGUAGGGUCUGGCCUGGAAUACUCUUCUAGAUGAAAAUAGCCCAACCAUGAGCCACCUUCUCAGCAGAUGAGAUGAAAUUAAAGCUCUUCACCUCCUCAAGGCCCAGAGACUAUCACAAAAGAGGUCAGAAAUCCUGAAGAUCACUUUCUGACAAACUCAGGAGCUCCAGGUUUAUCUUGGAACCUCAAGAGGAGAGAAAUUCACCCAACUCAGAAAGUAAAGACAUUAAAAUGUAAGAUGCAUAAUAAAAAUCUAAGUGGAGAAGCUCUUAUAACCUAUAAUAUUGAGUGAUGCAUGAGGUAGGUGUUCAAAGUAAUCUGCAUUAUCAUGAGAAGAAAACAUGUUUAAUUUUAUUUAAACAAAAUUUAAAGCAUAUUUAAUUCUCUCUACUUGAUUUCUCUAGAAUUUUGAAACUAUUUGUUUCCAAAUUUAAAAUUAAAUGAGUAGUAUAUUAUUGUAGUAAUUGUACUUUUUUUUUUGAGAUGGAGUUUUGCUCUUGGUGCCCAGGCUGGAGUGCAUUGGCACGACCUCUGGCUCACUAUGACCUCUGCCUCCCAGGUUCAAGCGAUU